CGGGGCUCCAGACAUGCGCUCACAGAAAGAAAAAGUCAACAAAGCAGUCCGCCGUCUUCACAACUCGGACACAAACUGUAGCAGGCGCUACUAACCGGAGCAAGACUAACCUCGCCUCAUAACGAGGCUGUGACCU